rnacentral:lncRNA from 1 species
CCCUCCCCCAGCCUCGCUGCCGCCUUGCAGUUUGAUCUGAGACUGCUGUGCUAGCAACCAGCGAGACUCCGUGGGCCUAGGACCCUCCGAGCCAGGUGCGGGUUAUAAUCUACUGGUGCGCCGUGUUUUAAGCCCGUGGAAAAGCGCAGUAUUAGGGUGGGAGUGACCCGAUUUUCCAGGUGCGUCCGUCACCCCUUUCUUUGACUCGGAAAGGGAACUCCCUGACCCCUUGCGCUUCCCAGGUGAGGCAAUGUCUCGCCCUGCUUUGGCUCGUGCAUGGUGCGCGCACCCGCUGACCUACGCCCUCUGUCUGGCACUCCCUAGUGAGAUGAACCCGGUACCUCAGAUGGAAAUGCAGAAAUCACCCGUCUUCUGCGUCGCUCAUGCUGGGAGCUGUAGACCCGAGCUGUUCCUAUGCGUCCAUCUUGGCUGUAAUCCCAGGUUCAUCAAAAUAAGAUAUGAUCAAGGUACAAAAGAGUUAAAGAAGCUAUUUAUUUUAAUGUUUCCUUGGAGAGCACACUUGUUAUUGCUUUGGUGUCAGGAUGAUGCUGGCCUCAUAAAAC